rnacentral:rRNA from 1 species
UAAGGAAUAUUGGUCAAUGGACGCAAGUCUGAACCAGCCAUGCCGCGUGAAGGAAGACGGCCCUACGGGUUGUAAACUUCUUUUGUACGGGAAAAAACCACCGGUCGUGAAUCGGUGCUGAUGGUACCGUAAGAAUAAGCAUCGGCUAACUCCGUGCCAGCAGCCGCGGUAAUACGUAGGGGGCAAGCGUUAUCCGGAUUCAUUGGGCGUAAAGCGCGCGUAGGCGGUCUGUUAGGUCAGGAGUCAAAUCCGGGGGCUCAACCCCCGUUCACUUCUGAUACCGGCAGACUUGAGUUUGGUAGGGGAAGGUGGAAUUCCCAGUGUAGCGGUGGAAUGCGCAGAUAUUGGGAAGAACACCGGUGGCGAAGGCGGCCUUCUGGGCCAUAACUGACGCUGAGGCGCGAAAGCUAGGGGAGCGAACA